rnacentral:lncRNA from 1 species
GCUCCUUCCAGUGGAUGCUGUUUUGGUGAAGCCAGAGGGGACUUUGAUCCAGAUGGGUGGGGUCAGUGGCUCUUCCCACACCCCAAGUAGGGCUGAUUGUAGAUUUUCUGGACACACCUUGAUGUCACCACACUUAUAGGUAAGAAUAACCAAGUAUGCAACAUCACAAAAUACAUUUUAUUGAUCCCUUAGCCAGUCAGAGGUAUCAAUUGACCAAAUACCAUGCUCUCGAUGGUGCUGCUAGGGCAAAAUAAACUGUACCACAGGGUAUUUUGUAUGAUGCCCUAUAACACUAAGCAUUAUCUGCAGACCAUUCAAAUAGGCUGAUUUCCGUAUCAAUGAAAAAGUGAUGUUGGAAUGGGCCCAGGUGGCCACUUGGCUGGACCCAUUGAAGGGGUAAGGCUGGGAUGUGGCGAAGGCCUUCCCGGUGCCAGAGUAGCUGAGGACCUGCAUAGCGGGCGGGAAGGCAGCUGGCAGUCACGGAGUGUGGCUUAUGGCAGGUAGUGCUCCUGAGUUUGGAAUCUGAACCGAAUCACUGUUAUUGACCAUAAGCCACAAAGUUGUCUGGUCAGCAUUAGGAUUUGUGUGUUGCUCCCAGGUGGUGGAUGGAGGUUGAGUAAAGUCAGUGUGACUACAAUGCAGCAAUUUUAUGUCUGUCUGCCUCACCUGGGGAACUUUUAAAAAACUACCAAUGUCUCAUGCCCAGUCCAGAGCAAUCCAAUCGAAAUCUCUGGGGGUUGGCCCCAGGCUUGGUGUUUUUUUUUAAGUACCCUAAAUGUCAGUAUGCAGCUAGGAUUGAGAACCAGCAUUGUAGAGGUUUUGAUUCAGGGGGUUGGGGGUGAGGCCCCAGACUGUGUAUUGUGAAUGAGGAGGCCAGACAAUUUUGAUGCAGGUGGUGGAGAGUCAACACCUGGGGCUAGUUUGGAAUCUUACUUAGGGUUGCACCUGGUGCGCCCUUUGUCUCUGGUCUUCACGGGGGAUCCCUCAUGGUGAGGGUGUAUGAAAGGGCCGCAGUAGGGAAGGAAGCUUAAUUUUCCCUCUUUCCCAGUUCCCCUCUGUGGUCGUGACGGGGCACGUGCUCAGAGAGCUCAAGCAAGUGUCUGCUGGCAGCGAGUGCCUGAGCAGGCCCUGGAGAGCCAGAGCCAAGUCUGACCUACAGCUGGGUGGGACAGAAAAUUUCGCUACCCUGCCUUCUACCCGCCCGAGGGCGCAGGCUCUUUCCGGGGUGCUGUGGCGGCUGCAGCAAGUGGAGGAAAAGAUUCUCCAGGUGAAAGACUCACUUUUUGCCCGUCUCUGUCCGUGUCUGGGUGACUUCCUUUCUUCCCCUCCCUCCUCCUACCCAGGUGGGUUCCUCCUCCCUCUGCCCACCCCCUGUCUCUCAUCCUGCUGUGUGUGGUGAGCAGGCAAGGCCCCCGGCUGCCUCCCUCACCCACUUCUUGGAAGCCAACUGUCUCAGUCUCUGUCACUAUCUCUCUUUUCUUUCUCACCUUCACUGCAGAAGAGGGCUCAGAACUUGGCCAACAGGGAAUUUCACACAAAGAACAUUAAGGAGAAGGCGGCUCACCUUGCCUCCAUGUUUGGACACGGGGAUUUCCCGCAGAAUAAACUACUCUCUAAAGGCCUGUCUCAUACUCAUCCUCCAUCUCCUCCCUCUCGCCUUCCGUCUCCUGAUCCAGCUGCUUCUUCCUCUCCAUCAACUGUUGACUCUGCUUCUCCUGCCAGAAAGGUAGUUGUCCUGAACAAUUUGCUUUCCCCAUUCCCUGCAUGUUC